rnacentral:rRNA from 1 species
AUUGAACGCUGGCGGAAUGCUUUACACAUGCAAGUCGAACGGCAGCACGGGAGCUUGCUCCUGGUGGCGAGUGGCGAACGGGUGAGUAACAUAUCGGAACGUAUCCAAUAAUGGGGGAUAACUAAGCGAAAGCUUGGCUAAUACCGCAUACGCCCUGAGGGGGAAAGCUAGGGAUCUUCGGGCCUGGCGUUAAUGGAGCGGCCGAUAACCGAUUAGCUAGUUGGUGAGGUAAAGGCUCACCAAGGCGACGAUCAGUAGCUGGUCUGAGAGGACGACCAGCCACACUGGAACUGAGACACGGUCCAGACUCCUACGGGAGGCAGCAGUGGGGAAUUUUGGACAAUGGGCGCAAGCCUGAUCCAGCCAUUCCGCGUGAGUGAAGAAGGCCUUCGGGUUGUAAAGCUCUUUCGCAAGGGAAGAAAGAUUACGCUCUAACAUAGCGUGAUUAUGACGGUACCUUGAUAAGAAGCACCGGCUAACUACGUGCCAGCCGCCGCAGUAAUAC